rnacentral:misc_RNA from 1 species
AGCUUGGAAUCUUACAAAUGAUAGGUACUUCCUGUAGUUCUGCCUGUCCUUUGUGUUUGGUUCAUCCAUUUAGCAUGAUAAUUUUUCUAUGCUCUCUUGUAUCAACGUUUAUCAAUUCAUGAGUUGAGAAUUAUAUUAUUUAGAUAAGGAUUGUCUAAAUAAAAUUAGAAGCAAUAAAAUGGAUUUAGCAUCAUUUUUGUUAUUCUUCAAAGCCAAGUUGAAAAGUAUGGGUUGAAUCUUACAAAUGACUGCAUUAUUACUUCUUAAAUGGAAGUAUAAUUUUUUCCCCUCUUCCCCUUAUAACCCCCAGGGUCACCCCUCGACCAAAAACCUCUUUUAGUUGUGUUGCAAAGAAUUUAUAAAUUUCUCUAGUGCUCUUAAUGAUUAACUUAACUGAAAUAAUGCUUUCUAAUGCUAUUGAUGUAGAACCAGGAAGAAUAAGUGACCAAGAGAAACAUUUCUCAAGAAUCAAAGAGAAACUAAUUCUCCAAAGGCAGAGUAACAAAUUCUUGAUUUUUAUUGCUCAAAUUAAUAAUCAAAGUCAUAAUAAGUCUGUAAAUAAAAUAGAGAUACUAAGCCUGAGUUUGAAAUCCCAAUUGCAUUAGGAUUUUAGAAAGAUUAGCACUACCUUGUAGAAAAUUUUCUUACUUUUCAGAAAUAUUUUGAAGAAAAUA